CCUACGGGUGGCAGCAGUCGAGAAUCAUUCACAAUGGGGGAAACCCUGAUGGUGCGACGCCGCGUGGGGGAAUGAAGGUCUUCGGAUUGUAAACCCCUGUCAUGUGGGAGCAAAUUAAAAAGAUAGUACCACAAGAGUAAGAGACGGCUAACUCUGUGCCAGCAGCCGCGGUAAUACAGAGGUCUCAAGCGUUGUUCGGAAUCACUGGGCGUAAAGCGUGCGUAGGCUGUUUCGUAAGUCGUGUGUGAAAGUCGCGGGCUCAACCCGAGGACGGCACAUGAUACUGCGAGACUAGAGUAAAGGAGGGGUAAGCGGAAUUCUUGGUGUAGCAGUGAAAUGCGUAGAUAUCGAGAGGAACACUCGUGGCGAAGGCGGGUUCCUGAACAUUAACUGACGCUGAGGCACGAAGGCCAGGGGAGCGAAAGGGAUUAGAUACCCCUGUAGUC
rnacentral:rRNA from 1 species